GGGCCUGUAGCUCAAUGGUUAGAGCAGAGCACUCAUAAUGCUUUGGUUCUCGGUUCGAGUCCGAGCAGGCCCACCA
rnacentral:tRNA from 1 species